rnacentral:rRNA from 1 species
CAGCCCUAAACGAUGCGCGUUAGGUGUAUCGGUGACCACGAGUCACCGAGGUGCCGAAGGGAAACCGUGAAACGUGCCGCCUGGGAAGUACGGUCGCAAGGCUGAAACUUAAAGGAAUUGGCGGGGGGAGGCACCACAACGGGUGGAGCCUGCGGUUUAAUUGGACUCAACGCCGGGAAGCUCACCGGAUAAGACAGCGGAAUGAUUGCCGGGCUGAAGACCCUGCAUGACCAGCUGAGAGGAGGUGCAUGGCGUAGUCGUGU